rnacentral:rRNA from 1 species
GGCUCAGGAUGAACGCUAGCGGCAGGCUUAACACAUGCAAGUCGAGGGGCAGCGCGAGUAGCAAUACUUGGCGGCGACCGGCGCAAGGGUGCGUAACGCGUGAGCAACAUGCCCGUAUCAGGGGGAUAAUCCAGGGAAACUUGGUCUAAUACCCCAUAGUAAUUUUGUAAGGCAUCUUAUAAGAUUUAAAGCUUUGGUGGAUACGGAUUGGCUCGCGUGACAUUAGCUGGAUGGUAAGGUAACGGCUUACCAUGGCUAUGAUGUCUAGGGGUUCUGAGAGGAAGGUCCCCCCACACUGGAACUGAGACACGGUCCAGACUCCUACGGGAGGCAGCAGUGAGGAAUAUUGGACAAUGGAUGGAAAUCUGAUCCAGCCAUGCCGCGUGAAGGAAGAAAGGUCCUAUGGAUUGUAAACUUCUUUUGUAUGGGAGCAAUAAGGCCUACGAGUAGGUUGAUGAGAGUACCAUACGAAUAAGCACCGGCUAACUCCGUGCCAGCAGCUGC